UUCCAGACUCCUACGGGAGGCAGCAGUGGGGGAUAUUGCACAAUGGGGGAAACCCUGAUGCAGCGACGCCGCGUGUGGGAAGACGGUCCUCUGGAUUGUAAACCACUGUCCCCAGGGACGAAAAUGACGGUACCUGGGGAGGAAGCUCCGGCUAACUACGUGCCAGCAGCCGCGGUAAUACGUAGGGAGCGAGCGUUAUCCGGAUUUACUGGGUGUAAAGGGAGCGUAGACGGACUUGCAAGUCUGAUGUGAAAAUCCGGGGCCCAACCCCGGAACUGCAUUGGAAACUGUAUAUCUAGAGUGUCGGAGAGGCAAGUGGAAUUCCUGGUGUAGCGGUGAAAUGCGUAGAUAUCAGGAGGAACACCAGUGGCGAAGGCGGCUUGCUGGACGAUGACUGACGUUGAGGCUCGAAAGCGUGGGGAGCAAACAGGAUUAGAUACCCCAGUAGA
rnacentral:rRNA from 1 species